GUGUCAGCCGCCGCGGUAAGACGAACUGCCCAAACGUUGUUCGGAAUCACUGGGCUUAAAGGGCGCGUAGGCGGCGAAUCAAGUCAGGGGUGAAAUCCGGCAGCUCAACUGUCGAAGUGCCUUUGAUACUGAUUUGCUCGAGGGAGAUAGGGGUCUGUGGAACUUCCGGUGGAGCGGUGAAAUGCGUUGAUAUCGGAAGGAACGCCGGUGGCGAAAGCGACGGACUGGAUCUCUUCUGACGCUGAGGCGCGAAAGCUAGGGGAGCAAACGGGAUUAGAUACCCCAGUAGUCC
rnacentral:rRNA from 1 species